UGCCUGCUGUACGACCUCCACCUCUGCGAGGGUCAUCAUUCGACACCGCAAGACAUCAGAAUCCAGAACCUUCUCACAGCUGAGAUCCUCAGAGACUAUGUGCAAGGCCAUCCUUAUGAAUAGAUGCUGUAGGAGCACAGCUGACCCCAACGCUGUGGGAGAGACAAGACCAGAGCAGAAAUCAGCGCUCAGGGAUAAUAAACCACACUGAGAGAUUUUAUUUGUUUUUCUUUGCUUGCUUGUUUUAUUUUAUUUUUAUUCUUUGAUUUCAGAUUAGAUUUAUUUUGUUUAGUGAUUCCACUCCGUAUGAUCUAAUAAGAAUAUAAUUAAGCUAGCAGCAGACUCUGUGGGACACUUAGUCAGAACCCAAUAAAAUGUAUAAUAAUACACUAUUAAAGUAACAUGAGUUGGUACAGUUAAAUCAUGUUUUUAUGCCCUCAAUAGUAUUAAUCUGUCUCAAAUAAUAAUCUACAAUAUUUAGAUUUGUGCUAGCAAGAAAUGGUGUUUCAGCUUGCUCACUUCAACUAAUCAAUACCUAUGAAAACAUCAAUAAUACAGUUAUUUAAUUAGAUUACAUCUGAAUAUGGGAAACUAUAUCUUCUUUUUGGGCGUGAUAUGAUUUACCAGCGUUUGGGAUGACGGCAGUCAGAAGACCGGCUGCGGCACCCCGGGGGAAAGAAACCCGAUGGGGUAGGUAAGUAUUCUUAGUACAAUACCCCCUAACCCUAAAGCUCCCUUCCCGUAGCCUAACCCUCCCCCUCUGCAGCUUAACCCUAACUCUCCCCGGAGGUGCCAAAAUCUAAUCCCCCUCCCCACAGCCGAACCCUAACCAUCCCCAGGGGUGCAUAAACAUAUCCCCGCCCCCUCCUUGCAGACUUACACUGACAUUCCCCACAUAACUACGAUCAGGAUGGUGUAUGGCGGGAUUCAGGUGUAGGCAUUUCCGGCGUAAGCAUAGUAGCUGCGUGUCGGGAUUCCGGAAUGAGGGAGAUUUAUUAAACCUUGGAGAGAAAGUACCAAAUAAUCAGCUCCUGUCAGAUUUCAAACACAGCCGGAAAAAUGUCAGUUAGGAGCUGAUUGGUUGGUACUUUAUCUCUUUCCAAAUUAUCACUCUCAAGGUUUGAUAAAUCUCCCCAAGUGUGGUUUACAUUUAGAUUGAUCACACAUAUAAGUUUAUUCCUAAAUGAAGCCUAAGGGCAGUAUUCAAUUCUGGUCGGAAGUUCCAACAGGGUGGAAAGCCGGCACUUUCCGCUGAUGACUGGAACUUUCCGACACUUCAAUAAUUCAAUUGAAGUGCUGGUUUUCCGCAGUCGAAAAACACAUGGAUGGGCAGAAUCUCUGUUUAUCAAUGGUGCAAGUAGAAAUAUUUUGAGUACAGAAAAUGGGCGUGGUCAUGCGUUGUCAGGGGACGUGGUCACAUGCCACUAGUGGGAGUGGCUACAUGACACUAGCGGCGUGGCCACACGACACAGCCCCUUAUCUUUGCACUCUAGAGGCUGUUGGAUUUGGCACCGUUUCCGACAGAAACACGCGGAUUGGCAGCUAUUCCGCCGAUCCACGUGUUUUCCGACAAGUCGGGAAUUCCCGACUUGUCGGAAAUAAACAGCCCCUAAUGAAUAGGUCGCUACCCCUUCCUACCUAAUUAUUUCAGAAGCUGCCGUCUUUCCAACAAGACGGCAGCUUCCGACACUUAUUGAAUAUACCCCUAAGUGUUACAAUAAUGAUGCCCUGAAGCUGCUUUGCUGCACCAACCCAGGGGGCCAAGUGCCGCAAACCCAUUACUAAUAUUGACGUAAUACAGUAUAUACAUUUAUCUAGGACUUACCAUUCAUACAUUCCAAUAUGUAGUCUGCAAAUGCAAGGACACUAUACUUAUUAUACUAUUUAAUUUGGGGGAUGACAGGUGUCCCUACUGUUUUUGUAUGUGCACUUUUUCUCUUUCUCAGUUGGUGGGACAUGCAGCACUGCCUGGGGAUUUAUGUAAAGACAUCCCUAUGCUGGAUCACUGAAGAAAACUUGGUGUAAGCAUAUCUACACAGAGAGGCCUACAUUUAUGUCUUUUUAGCUCCCAUAAUUCUGGUUGAUAUGACAUGACUUUAUUUUCUUUCUUUAAAGUGGUGGUGAUAUUGCAAUUAGUAUAUUAUGCUAAUUGUGAAAUGUACUUAUUUCAUAUGAUAGAAUCAUGGAAUAUACUGAUGUUGAGGGAUACCAAAGGUAGACUGGGGGGCACCUUCAAUGCUAAUACUUUAUAUGAGUGCAGAUUCUUGUGUAUAUUUGUAUUGUGCUUCGUUCAAUUCAUAAAGUUGUGAAGUGUUUCUUAUAUUAAAUUCAUUCUUAUUUUUUUAAA